UUUUUUACUGCAUGUUGUCAAAGCAGUUUCUUGCAGCCAAAUUGAUUGCAGCAGCAUGUGAUGCAUUUCUUCUCUGCAAAAUGGAAGUCUAAUUAUUAUUUCCGGCUAUCAUGUUGCUAACCAAAUAUUGAAAUAGAAAAUUUUGCUAUACUGUUUGCUAUUGCAACUCAAAUUUUGUCAACCAAGCAAGAUUCUCGAGUAAUGAGUGCUCGAGCAUUUUAUCCUGGUGGAGAGGGAAGGGGAGGUGGAGGAGAGGGAGGGGAGGGGAAUGGGAAGGGAGGAGGAGAGGGAGAGGGAGGGAAUGCAUAUUUUUGAUAAUUUUGGGCAUAGAUUUAAUAUUUUGAGAGGUUAGGGAGGUAGAAUAAAUUUUCCUGCCGCAAUUUCAAGGAAAAGGGUCUUAUUGACUAAAAGGCCGAGAAAAAAAAUACAUUGUUGUCGCCGGAGUUUAUAAGUAUACCAAACUAGCAAACAAGGUCGAAUAAAAAUACCAAUUUGGUAGUUUAGCCGUUAAGAAAUCAAGAAAAGAGUGAUUGACCACUGAUGGCUGUAAGAAAAUGAGAAGGCAAGCUCAUUUGUUCUCUUUAAUGCGCAGAACAAUAAAAUUUUUGCUAGGUGGGUGAUGAGUGGCUUUCUGGCAUAGAGCCCCUGGACAAGCUAAUGAGAUACUUUUGAACUUCUAUAAUUUGAUGUUACUUAAUUAACAACUAAUUUGACUAAUUUGACCAUUGCUGAUAUUGAGGUGGGUUUGAUCCUUGACUUGAGCUAAUAUGCAGCCCCAGAGCUAAUUGCCUCAGGCUAUUACCAUUAUAGCUUACUUGUUGAUUGAUAACAACUACGAUAUCUAACUAUCUGUACAUAGGAUUUCAAAGAGAGUACAAAAAUGGGUUCUUCCCCUCGUUACAAUGCUGGUUGAUGAAAUAUAACUGGACACUGACAUUGAGACAUGAAGUCAGGAUGGAGAGGAGACGAAGAAGGAGAGGACUGUGAAGAAAAAAAAAGGGAGGAUUCUAAGAUAUGGUUUCUUUUAGUCAGUUGAUGUGUGUUUAGUCAGUUUAUUCCAGUGUGUUAGUUUGGCUUGGCUUAUGGAAAUAACAAGGCAAGUUUAUAUGCUAUCGUUGUAUAUGUCAUGUUUUAAAUUAGGGCUUUGGGUGGAUUGCAUGUUAAACCCUUGUAUGUGUCAAGUCGAUUCUGUAAUAGGAGAUGGUUGUUUUUCUGUUUAUUUGGUCUGUGGUGUUCCAUCUUGUUAAUAACAGAUAAAUCGUUACUUCUUUAGAACGUGAAGUACAAAAAACAGAGGGGUGCAGAGAAAAUGCUAUAGAAUAUAUCUACAAUUUUUUUGGUUUA